rnacentral:rRNA from 1 species
GACGAACGCUGGCGGCGUGCUUAACACAUGCAAGUCGAACGGAGUGGCGAACGGGUGAGUAACACGUGGGUGAUCGGCCUUGCACGUCGGGAUAAGAUUGGGAAACUGGGUCUAAUACCGGAUAGUGCAAGAUGAGCUCGCGGCCUAUCAGCUUGUUGGUGGGGUAAUGGCCUACCAAGGCGUCGACGGGUAGCCGGCCUGGGAGGGUGUACGGGCACAUGAGUACUACGAGAGGGCCCAGACGGGUACGUGAGGCAGCGGUGGAAAGUAUUGCACAGUGUGCGGGAGCCUGAGGCAGCGACGCCGGGUGGGUAAUGAAGGCCUUGGGGUUAUAAACUCCUUUCGGCAGGUACGCGUUACCUGCAGAAGAAGCACCGGCUAACUACGUGCCAGCAGCCGCGGUAAUAC